GAUGAACGCUGGCGGUAUGCUUAACACAUGCAAGUCGAACGGUCACUUCGGUGAUAGUGGCGGACGGGUGAGUAACGCGUGAGAAUCUGUCUUCAGGUCGGGGACAACAGUUAGAAAUGACUGCUAAUACCGGAUGUGCCUUUGGGUGAAAGAUUUAUUGCCUGAAAAAGAGCUCGCGUCAGAUUAGCUAGUAGGUGGUGUAAGAGACUACCUAGGCUCCGAUCUGUAGCUGGUCUGAGAGGACGAUCAGCCACACUGGAACUGAGACACGGUCCAGACUACAGCAGGAGGGAGCAGUGGGGAGUGAGAGACGAUGGGUGUAGGGUCGAAAGCUUAAUACCGAGAGAAAGAGGAAGGCGGUGUGGGAGUAAAACUCAUUGGUCAAGGAAGAUCGAGACGGUGCUUGAAAAAAAAGCAGAGGCUAACUCUGUG
rnacentral:rRNA from 1 species